UACAGAGGUCUCAAGCGUUGUUCGGAAUUACUGGGCGUAAAGCGCACGUAGGCGGAUCGAUCAGUCAGGGGUGAAAUCCCAGGGCUCAACCCUGGAACUGCCUUUGAUACUGUCGAUCUGGAGUAUGGAAGAGGUGAGUGGAAUUCCGAGUGUAGAGGUGAAAUUCGUAGAUAUUCGGAGGAACACCAGUGGCGAAGGCGGCUCACUGGCCCGAUACUGACGCUGAGGCACGAAAGCGUGGGGAGCAAACAGG
rnacentral:rRNA from 1 species